rnacentral:rRNA from 1 species
UACAGAGGGUGCAAGCGUUAAUCGGAAUUACUGGGCGUAAAGGGCGCGUAGGCGGAUAAUUAAGUUAGGUGUGAAAUCCCUGGGCUUAACCUGGGAACUGCAUUUAAUACUGGUUAUCUAGAGUAGAGUAGAGGGAUGCAGAAUUCCAGGUGUAGCGGUGAAAUGCGUAGAUAUCUGGAGGAAUACCGGUGGCGAAGGCGGCAUCCUGGACCGGCAUUGACGCUGAUGAGCGAAAGCUAGGGGAGCAAACGGG